UUUUAAGAUAAAAGUACCGGAAGUAGACGCCACUGCUGAAGCCAUGCAUUUAUUGUUGUCGGCUGGUGUCGGGCAGCGGAAGAAGCAAGUCAAAUAAACGGAUUCUAACCUCAGAGUCUGUUCAGGAAAACCAUUUAAAGACAUGGAAAAGACCCUGGUCAGUUUCUCACCUACAGUUUGGGAUUUGAGAGGUCUUCAGACUCUGGGUGACGUGAUGAUGCUGCUCAUCUUCAUCACCAGCUGUAUAUGUGAUGGAGGCUGAGGAUUGUGUGGAUGACCAGGAGCUUCACUCUGAAUCCUGACCUCCUUCUGCUUCAGUGGUUUCUGACUCCAUGACUUGGUCAUCAUGGCAACCAUCUGGAUGACUGAGGUCCCUGAUUUGACUUUCUGAGGUGGCUCUUUGUGCCUCUGAUGGUGUGUUUGUGUUGAAGCUGCAGAAUCAGGCCAUGGUCUCUCUAAUAGUGCUGAACAUCAGGCUGUUAACUGCAGAGCAUCAGACCUUCUUAUCUGUGAUCCUCCCGACAGUUUCUCUCCUAACUCUUGGUAAGAGUUCAUGGAGGACUUCAGCUUCUUGCAGCUGCUCCUGCUGAUAGAUGUCAUUGCUGUCUUCUCCCUCUGCACUGGCUGCUACGUCUUCUUUGUUUCUGCUUUUCUCUUUAUCAUGACUGUGACUCUGGCAGCUGUGCUGAAAAUAUGAUUGUUCUCCUUAUAAUAAAAGCUGGAAGCUGAAAGUCCUGCCUGUGCUGAGACAUUUUUUCGUGCAUGAUCUUCACAGAAGUAAACAGCACAGGACAAAGGAAACUGUGGGUGACGUCAUCUUUAGCUCAUAGAAAAAUAUAUAAAAAUAUUUGAGUUUAUUAUUUGCCACAUUUAUUUUAAGAGUCAAUAUGAGUGUGGAUUGUCACAUACAUACUUUUGAACCAAACAGCCCAAAAUGUGUCAUCAUUAAAAUGACCUUUGUUAAGUUAUAAGUAAUGUGGACAGCUUAAUGUUUCGGCACCUGCAUUAUUCUCAUUUUCAUUAUCAGACUUUGUUUUGUUGUUGGCUGAUUGUUGUAAACUUGUUAUAACAGCGGGAAGAUCAUUCUGGGCAGCAGAAAUGAGGAAACGUGAAAAUGUGAAGAAGCUGUUGGCAGUAUUUCAUUAAAGUAUCAGAUUCAUUCAUUGAAGUCUGUUCUGGGUUGUUGGGGCCACUUUUUUUCUUGUACAGUCUGUCUGCCUGUCUGUCCUCGUCAGGUGUUUAGUUCAAGCUCUAUUAAGUUGAAAUAAAGGUUGAAGUGUUUGAAAGGAUUCACCUUGUUUACUCAAGUAAAAGUGAAAAAGUGCAGGCUCUGAAAUGUACUGAAAGCAAGAAUGUAAAAAGUAGUUCUUGACGGACAUUUCUACCACUUUUUCUUUCCUUUUUGUGGAAACAUUGUGCUCUAUUAAAAUAAUAAUAAUAUUAAUAUAACUUGUACUUGGAAAUAUAUAUUUUACUUUGCCUGUGCAAACAGUAAAAUGAGUAAAGUGAAGAGUUAAAGUGAGAUUUUGCAGGUGCUAAUAUCCACUCCCUGCACUGACUGUAUACUGUUCACACCGUCUUUAUACCAGAAA